rnacentral:tRNA from 1 species
GGUGCUGUGGCGCAGUAGGGUAACGCCCUGGCCUGAAGUGCCAGCAUCCCAUAUGGACGCUGGUUCGAGACCCAGCUGCACCA